CUCUGUGACUCCUACGGGAGGCAGCAGUGGGGAAUAUUGCACAAUGGGGGAAACCCUGAUGCAGCCAUGCCGCGUGUGUGAAGAAGGCCUUCGGGUUGUAAAGCACUUUCAGUAGGGAGGAAGGUAGUGUAGUUAACACCUGCACUAUUUGACGUUACCUACAGAAGAAGCACCGGCUAACUCCGUGCCAGCAGCCGCGGUAAUACGGAGGGUGCGAGCGUUAAUCGGAAUUACUGGGCGUAAAGCGCAUGCAGGCGGCCUGUUAAGUCAGAUGUGAAAGCCCGGGGCUUAACCUCGGAAUUGCAUUUUGAAACUGGCAGGCUAGAGUCUUGUAGAGGGGGUAGAAUUUCAGGUGUAGCGGUGAAAUGCGUAGAGAUCUGAAGGAAUACCAGUGGCGAAGGCGGCCCCCUGGACAAAGACUGACGCUCAGAUGCGAAAGCGUGGGGAGCAAACAGGAUUAGAUACCCUGGUAG
rnacentral:rRNA from 1 species